UGAAGAUGAAGGACAUCCUUGAUGGUUAGAUCUAGAACUUUGAAUCCGGCAAUCACCUGGAAAUAACCCCCACGGCCAUGAAGAGGAAGGACACCAUUAUUAGGAAUCUAAUUAUUAGCUAUUUUGAACAAAUCUGUAAACUCUAAACUAUGAUGGUUAGAUCUAGAACUUUGAAUCUGACAAUCACCUGAGAUAACUCUUGCGGUCAUGAAGAGGGAGGACGCCAUCGAUGGUUAGAUCUAGAACUUCGAAUCCAACAAUCACCUGGAAAUAACUCUCGCGGUCAUGAAGAGGGAGGACACCAUCGAUGCUUGGAUCCAGAACUUCGAAGUCGUCAAUCAUAUAUAAAUGACCCUCACGGUUAUGAAGAGGGAAGGAACCAUCGAUGGAGAUAAGACUCGUGGAGGAGGGGUAGAGAGGAA
rnacentral:lncRNA from 1 species